AGCUUUGCGCAGUGGCAGUAUCGUAGCCAAUGAGGUUUAUCCGAGGCGCAAUUAUUGCUAAUUUUUUUUUUUUUUUAAGUUUGCUAUAGGAUGUAUGUGCUCACCAGAGACGGAGAGGGAGAGAGAAAGUGAGAAAUCACUCCCUUGGGGUUGGGGGGGGUGGCUAUGCCACACUUUCUUCUCUUCCAGUCUCUUGGGAUUUUGGGCAUCCACACAUUUGUG
rnacentral:snRNA from 11 species